AUUGAACGCUGGCGGCAUGCCUUACACAUGCAAGUCGAACGGCAGCACGGGAGCAAUCCUGGUGGCGAGUGGCGAACGGGUGAGUAAUAUAUCGGAACGUGCCCAGUCGUGGGGAUAACGUAGCGAAAGCUACGCUAAUACCGCAUACGAUCUAUGGAUGAAAGCGGGGGAUCGCAAGACCUCGCGCGAUUGGAGCGGCCGAUAUCAGAUUAGGUAGUUGGUGAGGUAAAGGCUCACCAAGCCGACGAUCUGUAGCUGGUCUGAGAGGACGACCAGCCACACUGGGACUGAGACACGGCCCAGACUCCUACGGGAGGCAGCAGUGGGGAAUUUUUGGACAAUGGGCGGCAAGCCUGAUCCAGCAAUGCCGCGUGCAGGAUGAAGGCCUUCGGUUGGUUAAC
rnacentral:rRNA from 1 species